CCAGAGCACUGCUCAGCUCUGGUUUACAGUGGUGCAGGGGACUGAACCUGGGACUUUGGAGCCUCAGGCAUGAGAAUCACUUUGCAUAACCAUUAUGCUAUGUACCCCCAUUAUAUCAUUAUUAUGAUUUAACCAGCUAGAUGCCAUUUCUGUACAGACAUGUGGAGCCUUGUCUCAGCAGAGCAGUUCACAGGAGGUGACUCAGCACCCAGCCUUUGCAUUACCUCAUGGGAUGUUUACUGAACCACAGUCGUCUAGAGUACACACCAUUCCACUUGGAAGGACAGCCUUUCACCCUCUGUGCAAUCCAGAGAGUUAAAAUGGCUCACGGACUCGAUAAAGUCACGAAGACAUGGCAGCACUGACCACAGCAUACAAUCCCCUGGACAGAGGGCCAGCCUGGGCUGAUGUCUGGUUGCCCAAUACCAAACAUCUCCACUGCCCUGAUGGUCCACAGGUUACAACACAGAAGUAUGUGUCUGGGGUAGGCACCAUUUUUUAGAAAGCUCGACCUGAAUAAACAAGUGACACAUG